AGAGUUUGAUCCUGGCUCAGGAUGAACGCUGGCGGUGUGCCUAAUACAUGCAAGUCGAACGAGGUGCUUUUGUAGCAAUACGAGGGUAUCCUAGUGGCGAACGGGUGAGUAACGCGUUGGUGACCUACCCCAAAGUGUGGGAUAACAGUCCGAAAGGAUUGCUAAUACCGCAUGUGGUCAUCGGGAUUAGAAGCCGAUGUCUAAAGGAGCAAUUCGCUUUGGGAGGGACCUGCGUCCCAUCAGCUAGUUGGUGAGGUAACGGCUCACCAAGGCAACGACGGGUAGGGGACCUGAGAGGGUGGCCCCCCACAAUGGAACUGAAACACGGUCCAUACACCUACGGGUGGCAGCAGUAGGGAAUAUUGCUCAAUGGGCGAAAGCCUGAAGCAGCAACACCGCGUGUGCGAUGAAGGCCUUCGGGUCGUAAAGCACUUUUCUGAGAGAUGAGAAAGGACAGUAUCUCAGGAAUAAGUCUCGGCUAACUACGUGCCAGCAGCCGCGGUAAAACGUAGGAGGCAAGCGUUAUCCGGAUUCACUGGGCGUAAAGCGCGUGCAGGCGGUUCGGUAAGUUGGGCGUGAAAUCUCCCGGCUCAACUGGGAGAGGUCGUUCAAUACUACCGGACUUGAGAGCAAAAGAGGAAAGUGGAAUUCCCGGUGUAGUGGUGAAAUGCGUAGAUAUCGGGAGGAACACCAGUGGCGAAGGCGACUUUCUGGUCUGUUUCUGACGCUCAGACGCGACGGCUAGGGUAGUAAACGGGAUUAGAGACCCCGGUAAUCCUAGCCGUAAACGAUGUAAACUUGGUGUCGGUGGCUUAAACACUAUCGGUACCGCAGCUAACGCGAUAAGUUUACCGCCUGGGGACUACGAUCGCAAGAUUAAAACUCAAAGGAAUUGACGG
rnacentral:rRNA from 1 species